UUAUCAUAAACAUAAAUAAGUAUUCUUUGCUUUACUCACAAAAAAAAGGGCGGUUACAUAUUAUGAAUUAAUGUCAUUAAGUAGUUAUAUAGAAGUUGAGAAGUUUAUAACUUUCAAGAUUGUAUUCAAAUCUCACAUGAAAGUAUCAACUCAUGACACCAAAUUUAAGGAUUAGGUCCAAGGGGCAAAAGCUAUUUCACUUUUACAUCUUCAUUUUCAUUUGCUUACUAUAUAAAUGACUGAGAUUGUUCAUCCAUCUCAAUGUACGUAUAAACUUCGUGCUCUCUAGAAAAAUUUACUCUCAUAUGAAUUAUUUAUCAAUUCAAUAUCUUCAUUAAAAUUUGACAUUUUAUUUCUCAGCCUCUACAAGCAUUCAACAAGUUUAUAUUACUAAUGGUAUGUUUCAAAUAAAAAAUCAUCAAAUUAAAAUUUAGUUAUAAUGUGUCAGAAUUCAAUUAAUUAUAUUGUUUUUUUAUAUAAAUAUUUGUAGGAAUAAGAGAGGGGAUCAAAACACACAAGUGUGUCUCUCUCAUAUAAAGUCUUAAGAGAAGGUAGUUUGAAAAAUUGGAGGAUAUAGUAGUCAUUCAGUUAACUACGGGCCAUGAAUGUUUUUUUACCAUGUAUAUCUUUCUAACUGUGUACAUAGUUCUAUAUGAGAGGAUAUAGUAGUCAUUCAGUUAACUACGGGCCAUGAAUGUUUUUUUACCAUGUAUAUCUUUCUAACUGUGUACAUAGUUCUAUAUGAGAUCAAUCAUGACCGUUCGUUAGUUUUCAUCUUUGUUGUUCUUUGU
rnacentral:lncRNA from 1 species